rnacentral:rRNA from 1 species
AUGGAGGAGAGGCCAGUGGCGGCCACCUCGUGGAAGCUCUGCACCGUGACUCAAGUGGAGGAGCUCAAGAUCCUGCUCCGCCUGCUGGCUGCUGCCCAUCCGGAUCGCCAGCAUCAUUGUGUCAUCGGCCUUCUCGUAGAUGAACACCACGUUCGGGCAACAAGGCAGCGCCAUGGACAUGACCAUCCUGUCGGUGCCGGUGCCCGCGGCGUCGCUGGCCUCCUUCGAGGUGAUCUGCGUCCUGACAUGGGUGCUACUCUACAAUCAACAACAAGGUGA